rnacentral:rRNA from 1 species
UGGGGAAUAUUGGACAAUGGGCGAAAGCCUGAUCCAGCCAUGCCGCGUGUGUGAAGAAGGUCUUCGGAUUGUAAAGCACUUUAAGUUGGGAGGAAGGGCAGUAAGUUAAUACCUUGCUGUUUUGACGUUACCAACAGAAUAAGCACCGGCUAACUUCGUGCCAGCAGCCGCGGUAAUACGAAGGGUGCAAGCGUUAAUCGGAAUUACUGGGCGUAAAGCGCGCGUAGGUGGUUCAGCAAGUUGGAUGUGAAAUCCCCGGGCUCAACCUGGGAACUGCAUCCAAAACUACUGGGCUAGAGUACGGUAGAGGGUGGUGGAAUUUCCUGUGUAGCGGUGAAAUGCGUAGAUAUAGGAAGGAAGAACAAAUCCAANGGNGCCNCCNUACCNAUUAUACACUUAGGUGCGAAANCGUGGGGAGCCAACAGGAUUAGAUACCCUGGUAGUCCACGCCGUAAACGAUGUCGACUAGCCGUUGGGAUCCUUGAGAUCUUAGUGGCGCAGCUAACGCGAUAAGUCGACCGCCUGGGGAGUACGGCCAACAAGGUUA